UACAGAGGUCUCAAGCGUUGUUCGGAUUCAUUGGGCGUAAAGGGCGCGUAGGCGGCCUGAUAAGUCGGGGGUGAAAGCCUGUGGCUCAACCACAGAAUUGCCUUCGAUACUGUUAGGCUUGAGACCGGAAGAGGUAAGUGGAACUGCGAGUGUAGAGGUGAAAUUCGUAGAUAUUCGCAAGAACACCAGUGGCGAAGGCGGCUUACUGGUCCGGUUCUGACGCUGAGGCGCGAAAGCUAGGGGAGCAAACGGG
rnacentral:rRNA from 1 species